CGAGGGGCAGCAUGAAAGUUUGCUUGCAAACUUUUGAUGGCGACCGGCGCACUUUUGAGUAACACGUAUCCAACCUGCCUCAUACUCGGGGAUAGCCUUUCGAAAGAAAGAUUAAUACCCGAUGUCAUAGUCCUACCGCAUGAUGGGAUUAUUAAAGAAUUUCGGUAUGGGAUGGGGAUGCGUUCCAUUAGUUAGUUGGCGGGGUAACGGCCCACCAAGACAACGAUGGAUAGGGGUUCUGAGAGGAAGGUCCCCCACAUUGGAACUGAGACACGGUCCAAACUCCUACGGGAGGCAGCAGUGAGGAAUAUUGGUCAAUGGACGAGAGUCUGAACCAGCCAAGUAGCGUGAAGGAUGACUGCCCUAUGGGUUGUAAACUUCUUUUAUAUGGGAAUAAAAUGUUCCACGUGUGGGAUUUUGUAUGUACCAUAUGAAUAAGGAUCGGCUAACUCCGUGCCAGCAGCCGCGGUAAUACGGAGGAUCCGAGCGUUAUCCGGAUUUAUUGGGUUUAAAGGGAGCGUAGGUGGAUUGUUAAGUCAGUUGUGAAAGUUUGCGGCUCAACCGUAAAAUUGCAGUUGAAACUGGCAGUCUUGAGUACAGUAGAGGUGGGCGGAAUUCGUGGUGUAGCGGUGAAAUGCUUAGAUAUCACGAAGAACUCCGAUUGCGAAGGCAGCUCACUGGACAGCAACUGACACU
rnacentral:rRNA from 1 species